rnacentral:rRNA from 1 species
UACGGAGGGUGCGAGCGUUAAUCGGAAUUACUGGGCGUAAAGCGUGCGCAGGCGGUUCGCUAAGACAGGUGUGAAAUCCCCGGGCUUAACCUGGGAAUGGCGCUUGUGACUGGCGGGCUGGAGUACGGCAGAGGGAGGUGGAAUUCCACGUGUAGCAGUGAAAUGCGUAGAGAUGUGGAGGAACACCGAUGGCGAAGGCAGCCUCCUGGGCCAGUACUGACGCUCAUGCACGAAAGCGUGGGGAGCAAACAGG